GAUGAACGCUGGCGGCGUGCCUAAUACAUGCAAGUCGAGCGAACGGACGAGAAGCUUGCUUCUCUGAUGUUAGCGGCGGACGGGUGAGUAACACGUGGAUAACCUACCUAUAAGACUGGGAUAACUUCGGGAAACCGGAGCUAAUACCAGAUAAUAUUUUGAACCGCAUGGUUCAAAAGUGAAAGACGGUCUUGCUGUCACUUAUAGAUGGAUCCGCGCUGCAUUAGCUAGUUGGUAAGGUAACGGCUUACCAAGGCAACGAUGCAUAGCCGACCUGAGAGGGUGAUCGGCCACACUGGAACUGAGACACGGUCCAGACUCCUACGGGAGGCAGCAGUAGGGAAUCUUCCGCAAUGGGCGAAAGCCUGACGGAGCAACGCCGCGUGAGUGAUGAAGGUCUUCGGAUCGUAAAACUCUGUUAUUAGGGAAGAACAUAUGUGUAAGUAACUGUGCACAUCUUGACGGUACCUAAUCAGAAAGCCACAGCUAACUACGUG
rnacentral:rRNA from 1 species